UACGGAGGGGGCGAGCGUUGUUCGGAAUUACUGGGCGUAAAGGGCGCGCAGGCGGCCUGGCAAGUCGGGUGUGAAAUCCCUUGGCUUAACUGCGGAAUGGCGCUCGAAACUGCCUCGCUGGAGGGCGGGAGAGGGAAGUGGAACUCUCGGUGUAGGGGUGAAAUCUGUAGAUAUCGAGAGGAACACCGGUGGCGAAGGCGGCUUCCUGGCCCGUACCUGACGCUGAGGCGCGAAAGCGUGGGGAGCAAACAGG
rnacentral:rRNA from 1 species